UACGAACUGUGCAAACGUUAUUCGGAAUCACUGGGCUUAAAGGGUGCGUAGGCGGCUAUCUAAGCAGGGUGUGAAAGCCCCCGGCUCAACCGGGGAAUUGCGUUCUGAACUGGAUGGCUGGAGUGGGAUAGGGGUGUGUGGAACUUCCGGUGGAGCGGUGAAAUGUGUUGAUAUCGGAAGGAACGCCGGUGGCGAAAGCGACACACUGGGUCUCAACUGACGCUGAGGAGCGAAAGCAUGGGGAGCGAACAGG
rnacentral:rRNA from 1 species